rnacentral:rRNA from 1 species
CAACGCGAAGAACCUUACCUGGUUUUGACAUACUAAGAACUUUCCAGAGAUGGAUUGGUGCCUUUGGGAACUUACAUACAGGUGCUGCAUGGCUGUUUUCAGCUUGUGUUUUGAGAUGUUGGGUUAAGUCCCGCAACGAGCGCAACCCUUUUCCUUUUUUUCCAGCGGGUUAAGUCGGGAACUUUAAGGAGACUGCCGGUGACAAACUGGAGGAAGGUGGGGAUGACGUCAAGUCAUCAUGGCCCUUACGACCUGGGCUACACACGUGCUACAAUGGUCGGUACAAAGGGUUGCUACCUC